UGCCCCAUCUCCAACACUGGGGAUAAAAUUCAACAUGAGUAGAGAUAAAUAUCCAAACCACAUCAUUCCACCUCUGGCCCCUCCCAAAUCUUAUGUCCUUUUCUUGUUUAAUUGAAAGGUUGGGUUGGGUUCUUUCACUCUAGGAAUGUGGUUCUGCUAUUUCUGGUUUUGAAGUUUAGGUGAGGGUGAGAGGAAGUUACUGAGCAGAGGUCAGUGCUGUGCUCAGCCUCUCCUUUUGCCUAUAAUUGUUGGAUCUCAUAAACAGAAGGGAGGACAUUUCACAUUAAUCAACC
rnacentral:lncRNA from 1 species